rnacentral:rRNA from 1 species
GAAAAGGUGUUAUAUGCAUUAAAUGGAUACCUAAACAUCAAAACACAUGUGGGCGUUUGUACACGAAACAUUGUAGUGAGUAAGAGUUUGCUGUGACCUACAAUUUCCCAUAAUUAGAAAACUAAAUCUAAAAAAGAUAUACUUUAUUUUAAAUAAAUACAGUAAGAAAUUUAGCGAACUGAACCAUCUAAGUAGCUAAAGAAAAAAAUCAAGCGAGAAUCUGUUAGUAGUGGCGAGCGAAAGCAGUAUAGGCUAAAACGAAACUCUUUAUCUAAUGAAAUCAGCCAAAGAAGGUAAGCCCUGUAAGAUAAUUUUUAAGAGUGUCGGAUAUAAAGUAAAAUUACACGAGUCAUGUGUUGUUUGAAUAAUACGGAACCACCCGUAAAGUCUAUAAGUUUUGAUGCUUUAUAGCGAACAAGUACUGUGAAGGAAAGGUGAAAAAACAUUUGCGAAGAUUGAAAAAAAAUUGAAAUUUAAUGCUAACAAGCAGUCGCAGCUUUUUAAAGUGACGGCGUACCUUUUGUAUAAGGAUCAACAAGUUUAUUUCAAUAGCGAGCUUAAAUAUUUAAAUAUGUAGGCGGAAUCAAAUUGAGCUUUAAAAAGUUUUUUAGUUAUUGAAAUAAGACCCGAAACUAGUAUGAUCUAGCCAUGAACAGGUUGAAUUUCUAGCGGUAACGCUGAUUGAAGGACCGAACCGGUGUGUGUGGAAAAACACUCGGAUGAUUUGUGGCUAGGGGUGAAAGGCUAAUCAAAUCUAGAGAUAGCUGGUUUUCUGCGAAAUCUAUUUUAGUAGAGCGUUUAAAAUCUUUAGUUUAAGGUAGAGCACUCGAUGCGCAAUGGGGGCAUACCGCUUUACUGCGUGUAUUGAAACUCCGAAUAUAAAUUAAAAGAUUUUAAUCAGACAGACUGUGAGUGCUAAGAUUCAUAGUCGAGAGGGAAACAGCCCAGACUAACAAUUAAGGUCUCGAAAAAUAGUUAAGUAAAAAAAGUGUGAAGAAAUAAUGACAGCCGGUAGGUGAGCUUAGAGGCAGCUAACCUUUAAAGAGUGCGUAAUAGCUCACUGGUCUAGUUUUUUUGUGCUGAAAAUGUAAAGAGAUUAAAACUAUUUACCGAAAUUGUAGAUUUAACUAUUAUUAAUAGUUAAAUGGUAGCAGAACGUUCUAUAUAUUUAGAAAGGUUUAUGGUUACAUAAACUGAAAAAAUUAGAAUUGAAAAUGUUGAUAUGAGUAGCGAUAAACCACGUGAGAAACGUGGUCGCCUUAAGUUCCAGGUUUCCAAAACAAGGCUAAUCCGUUUUGGUAAAGUUAAUCGGUCUCUAAAAAAAUAACGAAGGUUUACUUUGAUGGGUAAAAAUUAUUAUUCUUUUAUUUUUCUAGCGUGACAAAGUGUAAAUACUAUUUUUAUUUUAUGGUAAUGAAAUAAAGGUUUUAUAGCAUUUUCAGGAAAUAGCGCGGAAAUUUAAACCGUACUUAAACCGACACAGGUGAACAAAUUUAGUAAAUUAAGGCGCUUGAGAGAAUUGUGUUGAAGGAACUCGGCAAAAUGACUCUGUAACUUCGGAAUAAGGAGUAACUUAAAUAAGGGCAACCUUUUUAAGUUGUCACAAAAUCGGGGACAGCGACUGUUUAAUAAAAACACAGGUCUCUGCAAAUUUGCAAAAAGACGUAUUGAGACUGACGCCUGCCCAGUGCUGCAAGAUUAAGAGGAAAAGUCAUUUGGCUUUAAUUUGAAACCCCAGUAAACGGCGGCUGUAACUCUGACGGUCCUAAGGUAGCGAAAUUCCUUGGCGCAUAAUUGGCGUCCCGCAUGAAUGGCGUAACGAUUGUCCCACUGUCUCCAGCACAAACUCAGUGAAAUUGAAUUUUCCGUGAAGAUGCGGAAUACCUGCGGCUAGACGGAAAGACCCUGUGCACUUUUACUGCAGUUAUACAUUGUACUAAGAACUUUUAUGUGUAGAAUAAGUGGCAGUUGUUUUUAAUUAUUAUGUGUAAUUAAAAAAGACUUUUGCGCAAGCACAUUGUUUAAACUUCUUUGAAAUACCACUCUUAAAAGUUUUUAGCACUAACUAUUUAAAACCAUGUAUAAUAGGUAGUUUGACUGGGGCGGUCGCCUCCCAAAAAGUACCGGAGGCGCGCGAUGGUAAGUUUAAAUUGACAAAAUACCAAUUUGUAAGCGUAAUAGUACAUACUUGCCUGACUGUAAGAUUGACAAAUCAAGCAGGGACGAAAGUCGGUUAUAGUGAUCCGAUGAUUCUGUGUGGAAAAGGUCAUCGCUCAACGAAUAAAAAGUACGCCAGGGAUAACAGGCUAAUCAUUCCCUAGAGACCCUAUCGACGGAAUGGUUUGGCACCUCGAUGUUGAGUCAUCGCAUCCUGGAGCUGCAAAAGGUUCCAAGGGUUUGACUGUUCGUGUGCGAAGGCGGUACGUGAUUUGAGUUUAGAACGUCGUGAGACAGUUUGGUCCCGUGCGAUUGUAGGUGUUGAAAAUUGAAAGGAUUAGACUCUAGUACGAGAGGACCGAGAAAAGCGAAUCUCUGGUGUAUCGAUUGUUGAACCAUCAGCAUUGUCGAGUAGCUAAAUUCGUAAUAAAUAAUCGCUGAAAGCAUCUAAGCGAGAAGUUAACCUUAAAACUAGUUUUCAAACAGUUGUAAUAGACGAUUACAUUGAUAGGCUUUUAGUGUAAGAAUUGUAAAAUUUUUAGCUGAAAAGUACUAAAUUAAAAUUAUACCUUUUUA